GACGAACGCUGGCGGCGUGCCUAAUACAUGCAAGUUGAGCGCUGAAGGUUGGUACUUGUUCCAACUGGAUGAGCAGCGAACGGGUGAGUAACGCGUGGGGAAUCUGCCUUUGAGCGGGGGACAACAUUUGGAAACGAAUGCUAAUACCGCAUAAAAACUUUAAACACAAGUUUUAAGUUUGAAAGAUGCAAUUGCAUCACCUAAAGAUGAUCCCGCGUUGUAUUAGCUAGUUGGUGAGGUAAAGGCUCACCAAGGCGAUGAUACAUAGCCGACCUGAGAGGGUGAUCGGCCACAUUGGGACUGAGACACGGCCCAAGCUCCUACGGGAGGGAGCAGUAAGGGAUCUUCGGGAAUGGGCGAAAGUCUGACCGGGCAACGCCGGGGGGGUGAAGGAGGUUGUCGGAUCGUAAAACUCUGUUGGUAGAGAAGAACGUUGGUGGGAGUUGAAAGCUCAUCAAGUGACGGUAACUACCCAGAAAGGGACGGCUAACUACGUG
rnacentral:rRNA from 1 species